UGCUGGGGAUAGCUCAGUUGGUAGAGCAUAAGACUUCUAAUCUCAGGGUCAUGGGUUUGGGCCCCACAUUGGGCAA